rnacentral:lncRNA from 1 species
GGGUAAUCUACACUCCAUGUUCUUUUCCACUUUUUCCAACAGGGUGAAGAUUACAAAAAUGCCUUUCAAGAUACUGGAGCCGCAAGGCAGAAGAAGACUUUGUUGCCAAGGAGAAAAUCUGUCCCCAGACCAAGGAGCUCCUGAAACACUUCCUCUUGUGUGUGACCCUGGUUUGUGAUCUGACCCAGAAACCAAACUGGAAGCUUAAGGAAAGGAACCAUGGGGUAAGAAACAAGCCCGAUGAUGGUUUGGGCAGAAAGACUUCCGUGGCUCAUCAAGAUUCAUCUUUCAACAGGUGUGGACACUGGGUUUAGACACCAUAGCCAUAAUUAGUAAUAAUUUUUUUCCAGUUUAAAAGGGUAUGUAUGAUGUAUGUAUGAUGUAUGACAUAGUAUAUGUUUAAGGUAUAUGAUGGGAUGACUUGAUAUUCAUAUAUAGGAAUGUUUACCACUAUAAGGUUAGUUAACACCUCCUC